rnacentral:lncRNA from 1 species
GGUUCGACGCAUCUAAAUAAUCAUUUUACAAGAGCACAAAGCUGGUUAUUUUAUUAUUUAUCGUAUAAUCUUUUGUUUCAUUGCACGGCGAACAAAAAAAUUAUAAAAAAAAUAAUAAACGUUAUUAAAGAAUGGGCACUUUAAUUGCGUCCAACAUAUUCUUUUACCAUCAAAACAAACUUUCUCUAACACCACAAUCCCCAAGUGAGAAAAAAGCUGCUAAGCAAUAAAUAUUCCUAUCUUUUGAUUAUUAUAGCUCUAUUUUCAGUAAAUGACUUUACUAAUCUCAUAUUCUGAGACCGACCGUUCAUAGAGCAAGUGGCAAAAGGCUUGAUGGUUGGUAUCCGAGAUCCCAAGUUCGAAUCCUAAUUGAUUCACAUUUCCAUCUAAGUUUAUUUCUAAAAUGUCAAAGUAAUUAUGCUUAAACACUGUAUGGCUAAAAUUCUU